rnacentral:tRNA from 1 species
UCUUUAGUAGCUCAAGGGUAGAGCGAGUGGCUGUUAACCACUAGGUUGUUGGUUCAAAUCCAACCUAAAGAG